rnacentral:miRNA from 1 species
AUGUGCCUAUAUAAGUGUGUGUACAUAUAUGUGUAUAUAUAUAUAUAUAUAUAUACACACACACACACACACACACACACACACACACACACACAC